AUUUACCAAUCCGUUCAGAUAUUUUCAAUACUUAAACACCUAGUGAAACUCGGCUGGUGCUCAUCAGCAGAAUAUCACCUAGUCUCCGGAUAACAGGGGUAUUGCCUUGCUCAGGUUUCAAGGGUUACAGUCAGCAGAAAAAGCCUGCAUCGGACGCAUGUGUCCUGAGAGCAUUCUGAGACAGUCAUCCAACCAGUGCUCAAUCAAGCCACCACUCCAUGACGCCUGUGCUGAGGGAUGCUGAGGACACUAAGGUGACCAAGACAGACUGUGCCCCACCCUCAUGAAGCUGUCAUGCCACAAGGGAGACAGAGCAGCUACAAGUCAGUGAAGCUCAGAACACACAGGGCUGGGGUGAGAAGUCACAGACAGAGGAGUCACGGUGGGGAUGGGGGAGACAGAGGAGUCAGGGCAAGGUUGGGGGAGACAGACAGAGGGGUCAGGGCAGGAUUGGGUGGCACAGGUGUCUGUAGGGACCCAGAAGUGGUACCUGU